rnacentral:rRNA from 1 species
GACGAACGCUGGCGGCGUGCUUAACACAUGCAAGUCGAACGGAAAGGCCCUGCUUUUGUGGGGUGCUCGAGUGGCGAACGGGUGAGUAACACGUGAGUAACCUGCCCUUGACUUUGGGAUAACUUCAGGAAACUGGGGCUAAUACCGGAUAGGAGCUCCUGCUGCAUGGUGGGGGUUGGAAAGUUUCGGCGGUUGGGGGUGGACUCGCGGCUUAUCAGCUUGUUGGUGGGGUAGUGGCUUACCAAGGCUUUGACGGGUAGCCGACCCGAGAAGGUGACCGGCCACAUUAGGACGGAAAGACGGCGCAGAACCCUAAUGGAGGCCAGAGUGGUGGAUAAUGCAACAUAGGCGGAAGCCAUAUGCAGCAACCUCGCUUACCGGAUGGCGGCUGUUCGGUUUGAAACCCAGUUUGGCAUGGACGAAGCGUUAAUACGGGUAAAGGGUAAAGAAGCACCGGCUAACUACGUG